UACGUAGGGUGCGAGCGUUAAUCGGAAUUACUGGGCGUAAAGGGUGCGCAGGCGGUUAUAUAAGACAGAUGUGAAAUCCCCGGGCUCAACCUGGGAACUGCGUUUGUGACUGUAUGACUAGAGUGCGGGAGAGGAGAGUGGAAUUCCUGGUGUAGCGGUGAAAUGCGUAGAUAUCAGGAGGAACACCGGUGGUGUAGACGGCUCUCUGGACCGUAACUGACGCUGAGGCACGAAAGCGUGGGUAGCAAACAGG
rnacentral:rRNA from 1 species